GCCCAAGGACCAGCUACAUGCUGCAGCUGUUUUCUGGGACACCCUGUUGUUUACAAAAAGAGAGGCCUGGGCUAAUAUCCACUCAUCAAGCCCUAACUUUGAAGAAGGUAAUUUCUACACUGCCAUUUUCUUCACACUGAGUGACACAGAGAGCCCCUGUGAGGAGAGACGGAGCAGAAGUCUGAGGUCAAAAGCUACAAAGAGUUUGCUGACCUCUGGGUAUAAGAUGACUCAUCCCUUGCAAGCUUAAAGCUGUACCACCCUGAUUCCCCACCGAGGUCAAGGUCAAGGGUGCAGGCAAUGUAAUGAGUUCCAUCGCUCAGGGUACAAAUACAAACUCAGAAGUCGGCUAAGGAAACACCUGCCAGCUUGGGGAAGAAAGAAAAGACCACAUUUUAAAAGGGAAGCAAAAACUAAAGCCAACAGCCCUCCCAUUCAAAGGAAACUGUCUCCUGAAAAGAAUCAGACUCUCAGGAACCUCCACAAUGCCAACUCUGAAACAGAAGAGCUGCUUUUUCUUCUGAGAAGACCUGGCUGCCUGCUAAGCAGUGGCUUGAAGAGCAUACAUGCCAAGAUUUCAGGCCCUUUUCGCUCCUUGGCUGUGUGGGUAAACAACCCACGUGAGUACAUGUAUAUAUUCUCCUUCCCGGCACCAUGCAAGAUGCCUGCUAGCUAUAGCAACUUCAUAUUAGUUAAAUGAAUACAUCAAAGUUAAGGAGGUUUCACUAGCUAUAGUACAAUGCAACAUUUUAACCCUCCUCUUCAGUGAAUUGCUACAAAUGCUUCCACCAGGUCACCACUACCUCAGGCAAGAGACAGAAAUUGUUGCCAUUCCCUAGGAACAUCCCUCUUUCUUCCCAUGAUCCCCUCUCUGACAUUAAGGAACUAUAGACCCAUUUCAUAAGACUUUCAAACUCAUCUUAAAAAUAUAUCCACAUAUCAAAAUCAAUACGAGUGGAAGGAAGAAGAGCAGGAAAGACAAACACCAAAACCAACAAGAAUUAGUAUAUGAGGAGGCAAUGUGUGGAGCAGAGUCUGAAGUAAAGGCCGCCCAGAGACUGCCCUACCUGAGGAUUCAUCCUAUAAACAGUCACCAAACCCCGACACUACGACAAGAAGCGUGUACCAAAAGGAGCAUGCCAUGGCCGCCCAGAGACUGCCCUACCUGAGAAUUCAUCCUAUAAACAGUCACCAAACCCCGACACUACGACAAGAAGCGUGUACCAAAAGGAGCAUGCCAUGGCUGUCUCCAGAGAGGCCCUGCCAGAGCCUUACAAAUACAGAAGCAGAAACUAGCAACCAACUAUUGGACAGGGCUUGGGGUCCCCAACGGAGGAUCUGGAGGUGGUCCAGCGGAGCUGAAGGUGUUUACAGCCCCAUGGGAAGAACAAAGACCUUGGACACCCAGACACCCUAAGACUCCCAGAGACUGAACCAUCAACCACGGGGUACACAUGGUUCCAGCCAAAAAUGUGGCAGAGGAAGGCCUUGUUGGGCAUCAGUGGGAGGAGUAGUCUUUGGUCAGAUAAAGGCUCAACAGAGGUCCCAACAAAGGGAAACGGA